rnacentral:ribozyme from 1 species
AUGUAUUUCUGUGUAUAUGUGUUCGUUUGUGUGUGAGAGGGAUUUUUUUGUAUUUCACUUGCCGCUUUCUGGGAUCUAUUGGGAGAGUGUGUGUGUGCGUGCGUUUGUGUGAAAGACAGAGAUAGAGCAACCGAGACAGAGAGAAGGUCUCUUUUGUUGAUAUUUGUAUCGAUCAAAAAUGAGACAGACAGAGAGAAAGCUCGUUUGUAGAUACACACACAUACACACAUACGCAUAUUUAUUCAUGAUGAUUUACAUGUAUGAAUUUAAUACUGGCUUGCCGC